UACGGGGGGGGCAAGCGUUGUUCGGAAUUACUGGGCGUAAAGGGCGUGUAGGCGGCCAACUAAGUCAGACGUGAAAUCCCCAGGCUCAACCUGGGAACUGCGUCUGAUACUGGAUGGCUUGAAUUCAGGAGAGGGAUGCAGAAUUCCAGGUGUAGCGGUGAAAUGCGUAGAUAUCUGGAGGAAUACCGGUGGCGAAGGCGGCAUCCUGGACCGACAUUGACGCUGAGGAGCGAAAGCUAGGGGAGCAAACGGG
rnacentral:rRNA from 1 species